rnacentral:rRNA from 1 species
AACGAACGCUGGCGGCAUGCCUAACACAUGCAAGUCGAACGAAGCCUUCGGGCUUAGUGGCGCACGGGUGCGUAACACGUGGGAAUCUGCCCUUUGGUUCGGAAUAACAGUUAGAAAUGACUGCUAAUACCGGAUAAUGACGUAAGUCCAAAGAUUUAUCGCCGAAGGAUGAGCCCGCGUAGGAUUAGGUAGUUGGUGGGGUAAUGGCCCACCAAGCCGACGAUCCUUAGCUGGUCUGAGAGGAUGAUCAGCCACACUGGGACUGAGACACGGCCCAGACUCCUACGGGAGGCAGCAGUGGGGAAUAUUGGACAAUGGGCGAAAGCCUGAUCCAGCAAUGCCGCGUGAGUGAUGAAGGCCUUAGGGUUGUAAACUCCUUUUGCAGGGGAAGAGGAAGGACGGUACCCUGCGAAUAAAGUCACGGCUAACUACGUGCCAGCAGCCGCGGUAAU